GACGAACGCUGGCGGCGCGCCUAACACAUGCAAGUCGAACGAGCGAGAGAGAGCUUGCUUUCUCGAGCGAGUGGCGAACGGGUGAGUAACGCGUGAGGAACCUGCCUCAAAGAGGGGGACAACAGUUGGAAACGACUGCUAAUACCGCAUAAGCCCACGGCUCGGCAUCGAGCAGGGGGAAAAGGAGCAAUCCGCUUUGAGAUGGCCUCGCGUCCGAUUAGCUAGUUGGUGAGGUAACGGCCCACCAAGGCGACGAUCGGUAGCCGGACUGAGAGGUUGACCGGCCACCUUGGGACUGAGACACGGACCAGACUCCUACGGGAGGCAGCAGUGGGGAAUAUUGCACAAUGGGGGAAACCCUGAUGCAGCGACGCCGCGUGGAGGAAGAAGGUCUUCGGAUUGUAAACUCCUGUUGUUGGGGAAGAUAAUGACGGUACCCAACAAGGAAGUGACGGCUAACUACGUG
rnacentral:rRNA from 1 species